GGCUGGUCGGAAGGUAGUGAGAUCUCACAACGAUUGCUUACAGUCAAUUACUGGUCGACAUAUUUGUCUAUCCCCACUCACUACUGCACUUGACUAGUCUUAA
rnacentral:Y_RNA from 1 species